UAGCAUUACACAUUAUUGUUGUUGUUGUUGUUGUUAUUAUUAUUAUUACAUGUCAUAAUAAUUAAAUAAAAAUUAUUUUAUACAAACAUAAAUAAAAAAAUUGUAAAUUUUUAAUGAAGAGAAAGAAAAUAAAAUAUUUUAAAAUCUUCAUAACUUGUUCAUUUAAAAAAAAAUUGACGACUUUUAUACCAUAUUGAAGAUCUUGUCACGAACUUAAAUUUAAAAUGUAUAUUGAAUAUUUCUUCAUAAAUUAAAUUUAAUUAUGUUUACAAAAUAUAUAUGUGUAUAUAUAUAGAGAGAGAGAAAAAUAGUGGGAAAAAACACUUUAUAUAUAUAUACUAUAUUAUAGUGUCAAGAGUAGUCACUUUCUUUUAGUAAAAUUAAAAUUUAUUCAUUCAAAUAAAAAUUUAAAAAAAUAGUACCCACUUUUUAUAUUAAAUGACAAAAUUGACCCUAAGAUUAAAAUUAAAAAAUUACCCACUCCUAACCCUAAUCUCUAUCUCUCUCCUCCCAGUCUCUCUCAGAAACGCUCCCGCUCCCUCCCUAUCUCUCUCUCUCUGUAUCUCUGUGCGGCGGUGGCGGCGUCGAAGCUGACGGCGACUCGCGGUCCCAGGCUUCGGCGGGAGAUAGAGUGGAGGAAGACGGCGUCGGCGACGCUUACCUUGGCGGUGGCGUCGUAAAUGGCUUGACAGAAGUCGGCGGAGCGUAGGAUGAGGCGGCGAAGGGGAGAAUUCAGAUUUUAGAUGGGGAGGGCGAGCUCAGAUCUCGAAUGGAGCUUCAUCGAGUUGAAGAAAACGAGGUAGUGGGUGGUCGAUCUGAAAUUAAAUCGUGUAUCAAGUAAUUUUGUUGGGUGAUUGCAUAAGAGAUGAUGGGUGGUGAAGCAGCUAUGUGCUUCGACGAUAGCAAUUGCACUUGAAUUUGUGAGUUGUUGGAUGAUUGCAAUUAAGAGAUGAUGGGUGGUGAAGCAGCUAAUGUGCUUCGGCCAUAGCAAUUUACUUCAAGUUGUGAGUUAAGUGAUGAUUGCAUAGGAGAUGAUGGGUUCUCCACUAAUUUCUGGUGACGUCGACCAGAGAAUUGAAUUUGGUCAAUUGAAGAGAUUUUCUUGGAGAGAACUGCAGCUGGCCACCGAUGGUUUUAGUGAAAAGAAUGUCCUUGAAAAGGUUUAUAAAGGCUGUGUGCUUCGGCCAUAUAGUAAUUGCAGUUCAAUUUGUGAGAAAAAUGGCAGUAGUAUUGGUGGAUGAAAUGUGGCAGUGAAGUAGAUGAUGAUGAAAGAGAAAUAAAGUUGCGAUUAGUAUC